ACGAACGCUGGCGGCGUGCUUAACACCUGCAAGUCGCACGCUGAAGCUUGGUGCUUGCACUGGGUGGAUGAGUGGCGAACGGGUGAGUAAUAAGUGAGUAACCUGCCCUUGACUCUGGGAUAAGCCUGGGAAACUGGGUCUAAUACUGGAUACGACAUGUCACCGCAUGGUGGUGUGUGGAAAGGGUUUUACUGGUUUUGGAUGGGCUCACGGCCUAUCAGCUUGUUGGUGGGGUAAUGGCUCACCAAGGCGACGACGGGUAGCCGGCCUGAGAGGGUGACCGGCCACACUGGGACUGAGACACGGCCCAGACUCCUACGGGAGGCAGCAGUGGGGAAUAUUGCACAAUGGGCGGAAGCCUGAUGCAGCGACGCCGCGUGAGGGAUGACGGCCUUCGGGUUGUAAACCUCUUUCAGCACGGAAGAAGCGAAAGUGACGGUACGUGCAGAAGAAGCGCCGGCUAACUACGUG
rnacentral:rRNA from 1 species